CGCGGGGCGUGGUGGGCGCGCUGUGGCGCCGCAUGUGUGCGUGCAUGUCGGGGAAGCUCUUCUUGAUGUACGCCUCGGCGCUGCUCUCCCACACGGUGCCGAAGCGGAAGCCCUGCGCCGGGUGGUGCAGCUGCGCGGGGGACCCCGUCAGCGCCUCUGCCUGCCCCUCAGGACCCCUGACCAUUGAGGGGCGCGCCGUUCUCCGGGGUGGGGCCGUCCUGGGCACUGCAGGGCGCCGAGGCUGCAUUCCUGGCCUCCACCCACUCCAUGCCCAGAGCACACCCCAGGCGUGACCACCACAGCUGUCUCUAGACACACACUGUCCAGGGUCCCCUGGGGCGGGGGGCAGGAUCACCCCGGGUGGAGACCCUCUGUUCUAAACGCCGGCAAGUCCAUCUCCACCUGGACCUCGCCCUGGGCUGGACGCCUAUCCCACCACCUCCUCUGCCUCUCCCCUGGGGGUCCCACGGGAGCCCCACUCUAACAUGUCCAUGACCCCACUCCUGAUCUGCCCCCACUCGCUCUUCCCACCCCAGGCGGAGGCAGCUCUGUCGUCACUGCCUCUGACACCCUGUUUCUCCCGAAAACCCUGGGGGGCGCCACCUGCAACACAGGGAACUGCCCACUGCUCACCCCUCCACAGCUCCUACCCAGCUGCCAGGGCAACCUGGUGCAGACCCCUAAUGAGUAGGUGGGUCUGGCUGCUGAGGUCACACCAGCCACGGCCUCCCCACGGGAUUCCAGCACCACCAAAAACCCAAACUUGAAUCCCAUCGUGCCUGUGGGUCAGCAGCAUCUGAUGGAAGUUUCCGUAUGAUGAAAAGGCUUUGACGGCUCAGCUGUGCAGCGUUUACAUUGGAAGAGCCGCCGGCAGCAGUCGGCUCACCUGACAGCAUGGCGUCUACGCUUUACUACCGUUUCACAGGGGACACCAGGGGCUGGGGAGCAGGCCAGGCACCCCCAGGGGACACCACUGGGCAGAUCCAAAAGUUCAGAGACACUACGGGGCAGAAAACCCGACUUUGCCAAGAAAUUACAAGGGGAGGCCGGGCACGAUGGCUCACGUCUAAUCCCAGCACUGUGGGAGGCUGAGGCAGGAGAAUUGCUUGAACCUGGGAGGUGGAGGUUGCGGUGAGCUGAGAUCACUGCACUCCAGCUCUGGGCAAGAGUGAGACUCUGUCUCAAAAAAAAAUAAUAAUAAUACGGGCCAGAUGUGGUGGCUCACACCUGUGAUCCCAGCACUUGGGAGGCCGAGGUGGGCGGAUCACGAGGUCAGGGGUUCGAGACCAGCCUGGCCAACAUGGUGAAACCCGCCAACUCUACUGA
rnacentral:lncRNA from 1 species